CUGCAGUGAUGAGUCAACUAGCUCACUUUGAAAAAUAAUGAAACGCUUCGAACUCCUGAGCAGU